rnacentral:lncRNA from 1 species
AGGAAACCAGUUCCAAGGGACUCAGCUAAGCCACUCAGAGAAAAAAAGACCUGAGCUUUAUUCGGAGAGGAAAAAAAAAAAAAAUGUGUGGUCCCUGGACUGGAAGCUUCAGAAUCAUCUGGAAAUGUGCUAGAAAUGCAGGCUCCCAGGCCUCCCCUACCACUCCUUUACAAGUACACAAGGUCACUGGAUAGAUGGUCCCUUUGGAUCACGUGCUCAUCCCUGGCCCAGUCAGCUGUGAUCAGAGGAGCAAGACCGUGAGAUAAGGCUUGAAACCUAAGGAAUUUCAAAGAGGGGGCCAUGAUGGGCAUUCAGCGGCAUCUCAGGAGGGGGCAGAGUAACCAGCAGAUUGGGAAACCCAGGUAACAGUGCAUAGAUGAAUUGCCUAAGGUUCUGCUUCUAGUUGGUGUCCUGCGAAUCAGUUCAGCCCAGAGAACUCAUCACUACCAGGCCCAG